CGUCAAUUUAAACAUUCGUUAAUUACCUUUUUUAAUCAAGACUAAACAGCAUGCGAAGUUUUUUAAGCAUUAUAGGAGGUUUGAUCCUUGCUAGUUGUUAAACACUAUUUAAGUUAACUAGAGUAGAAGCGGAUGCUCAAAUGGCUCUUUUGGCUUUGGCAAAUUCUUUUGAGAAGGUUAAGUUGGACAAUGAUAGUCUUCAACUUCGAAUAAUUGUCAAUUGAUGUAUGCAAACGAACAGACAAUGUGUAUUCUCUUACAAUAUUCGAAAGUCCGGUGGAAGUACAGCCAUUACUCAUUAAAAUGCCGCAGAAUGGGAUCAGCAGUUCGGAAUGUGGGUUGUCUUAAAGCACUAUUGUCCUCAAAUCUUUGAGCAAAAUGGUAGACUGUCUGCGUCCCUAUUCAUUUCCUUUUCUGAAAGAGAUCAGUUGAUUGGUCCAUUCCUGUAUAAUGGGGAGUCCGUUCGUACUUUUGCAUUAUCCACUGAUUUUACCUAUCCAGGUCAUUUUCUAUCAGUUAAAGAAAAGAAAGAAAGACUUUUUUGCUUUGUCUCAAGACCUCUAACUAAGGAAGGAUCACCUAUCACCUGCUGGCCUUAAGGUUUGGUUAGAUGACAAGUGUCAAAUCCAUGACAUGCGUAACGCUGCUUAUUCAAAUAAUGCUUUGUAUUACAGCCCUCUAGUAUUAAUUUUCAAAUUUUUUCCGACCUCCGUUUAUUGGGUACACCUAAUGAAACCACAACCCUCCGAUUGUUCCCCCAUGCAUUGUGCUCUUACACUGCUCAUUGUGAGUUCAGCUUUUGGUACCGCAUUCUUUUUGGUGGACAAAGCCUUCUAAUUACAACUACCUUGGUUAAUUUACCCCAUGGAAUUAAAAGGACAUUAAGGAGUCUUUCGAUGUUUUUUUUGGAACGUCUAGUGCUUAUUUGGCCGUAUUUGGUUUUGGAGUAUGGCGACUAAUAAAGCGUAAUUUCAUAGCUAUGACUAUGACAGGCUUGUAUUGAUCCAAGGCUUACCAGAUUGUUUUGAAGAUUUUGUACAGAAAGCUUAUGAGAUCCUCUAAAGCUUUGGAUAUGAUCGAUGUAUUUGUUAUCUGUUCCAGAAGUUAUUUGAUAUGGCUGUAUGUAAUUUAUUUGUUGUAUAAGAACUUUUAUCUUGAAUCAUCUACGACUUCAAAACAUUCGGCGACACUUUUUAAGGUGUUUUAAUGUUCACCAUGCGUCCUUUUGUUGUGUCAUACUUUGGCACCAUCUCAUGGUGGUCUCCUACUGGAAUUGCCCCCCAUAUAGGUGAUUUUGUGCGUUGGUCAAUCCGUUAUGUAACAUAAAUUUUGAUUCCUUGUUGUAUAUGGCACCCUUCACAGAAUGGACUACUCUGUUACGAUGAAAGGGUGCAGAAUAUGUUGGCUGAACGAGAUGGUUGAAACUUCUGUCAACAAAAAACUUUUAUAUUAUUUAUGCCAAUAGUAUGCGGAUUAGAGUUUUUUCGUUGAUCUACAUGGUGCUUUAGAAUUUUCUACGGCAAAAUAAAAGCAUUAUGUGAAUCAUCCUUUAUAUAAUGGAAUGAACUUUGUGGAUUUGUUAAGUAGGAAUAUCCUUUAAGUUUUCAUGAACUUCCCUUCAUAGUCUAUUUGUGCAUACAGUUUUAUGAUGUCUACAACAUCUACAUAUUCUAAUUUAUCAAAAUUAUUAUUUAUUGAUGGUCUAUAACUUAUUUUUUUAACUUCACAAAAAUGUUUUGAUAUUAUUUUAUUAACAGCGAGCUUUAUAAGUCGAUAAACGAUUUUUAAAACACACUAU
rnacentral:lncRNA from 1 species